CUUCGGGGGACAAAGUGACAGGUGGUGCAUGGUUGUCGUCAGCUCGUGUCGUGAGAUGUUGGGUUAAGUCCCGCAACGAGCGCAACCCUUAAGCUUAGUUGCCAUCAUUAAGUUGGGCACUCUAAGUUGACUGCCGGUGACAAACCGGAGGAAGGUGGGGAUGACGUCAAAUCAUCAUGCCCCUUAUGAUUUGGGCUACACACGUGCUACAAUGGACAAUACAAAGGGCAGCGAAACCGCGAGGUCAAGCAAAUCCCAUAAAGUUGUUCUCAGUUCGGAUUGUAGUCUGCAACUCGACUACAUGAAGCUGGAAUCGCUAGUAAUCGUAGAUCAGCAUGCUACGGUGAAUACGUUCCCGGGUCUUGUACACACCGCCCGUCACACCACGAGAGUUUGUAACACCCGAAGCCGGUGGAGUAACCUUUUAGGAGCUAGCCGUCGAAGGUGGGACAAAUGAUUGGGGUGAAGUCGUAACAAGGUAGCCGUAUCGGAAGGUGCGGCUGGAUCACCUCCUUUCUA
rnacentral:rRNA from 1 species